UGAUGGUCUUUAGGUCAGAGACCUCCCCACGAACUAAAAUCUGAGAACACAGAUGGGUCUUUGCAAAUAACUUCAUAAUAACAUCAAGGGAGAAGAAUCAUUUCAGACUUUUGGAGAUGGAAAAACCUUUUAGCUGUGAUGACUCGCUCCUCAGAAACAGGACCAAUGCUGUCCAUUGCAGACCAACAUGUUCUGUUUUACCCAGUCAACAGAACGAGCAUGUGUUACAAUGUCACAAUGCUGAAAAUGGGAAUGAGGAGAACUCAAGGAAAAUAACAAAAUCAAAUGUGCCCAUAUCAAUGGACACUCAGUCUGAAAUCUUGGAAAGAAGAGGAAAACCAACACUACUAAUUAGGUCCAAAACAUUUGAUCCCUCCUUUCUUUCAUAUGUCCAAAGUGACACUGAGUCAAAGACUGAAAGGAAAAAGCAACAGUGCUGCCAUUUUCCUCGGACAAAUACCCAAUACCACAAAAUUUUCAAAGACAUUAGUGAGAAUGAGCUGUUGAAACAAAGUUACACAUGUGCAUUGCAGAAAGAUAUUCUUUACCAAGGGAGACUUUUCGUGUCGGAUAACUGGAUUUGUUUCCACUCCAAAGUCUUUGGUAAAGACACCAAGAUUGCCAUUCCAGCUAUAUCUGUAUCGGUAAUAAAGAAAACUAAAACUGCCAUCUUAGUACCAAAUGCACUGAUUAUUGCAACAGCACAAGAACGGUAUGUUUUUGUGUCAUUCCUGUCCCGAGACACUACAUACAAGGUUUUGAUGUCAGUGUGCUCCCAUUUGGAUGACAAGUGUUUGGGAAACAGUCCUAUUCAUUCCUCUGCAGAUGGCAAUUACACAGUGUCACCUUCCACACUUCCCAUGAAUUUCUCAGCAGAUCUGUCAGAUUUGGAUGGCCCAGUGGUUCAAAGGAGACAAGAAAUGGGAUAUAGCAGUAGCUCAGACUCUCCAGAUUCACCAGAGUAUGAGAAAAUGCCAGAACACAAACGGAAUGUUUAUGAAAGUAAAACACUGAGACCAAGCUUGCUUAAUGUUCUUCUGAUGGUGUACCUAUUUCUAUCAUAUCUUUGGAAGAGAGGCUGGACUCUCUAGGCUCUAUGGCUGAAUUUAUUCAUAAUGGGUAAGAUAAAUCCAUGAAUGCCCAGUUCUUUUAUUGGGAUGAACUAAAAGAUUCUUGAUCAGUUUGGAUGUUAUGUGUCAAUUACAGAGAUGAGUACAACAGCGCAUACUCUGAGGAUGCUUCUAGGGUCUACUCUGCUGUGUCCAUUAACCUUGUGAAGCUUGAAAAGAUAAAAAGAGGCCUACAGAGACUAUUGGACAAAAUCCAGUGACUUUAGAUCAUUCCUCAGAUCUCAGUCACCACAAGGUACUGAGAUCUUUAUAGGGUGUACCGUUUAUUGUUAUUGCAAGUCAUUGGCCAAGAUAGGACUAUAGAACAUGGGCAAUGUUUUCCUGGACAUAAUAAAAGCACAAAAUAAAGCUCCAUUUUACUGCUAACAACCCCUGGAUUAUUAAUCUUGGAAUACCACCCCAGUGGCAAUUUUGUUUGUUUUUUCCUUUGUAAUGUUUUUCUGUCUCUGAAAAGCAUGGUAGAGGUGUGAUGAAAUUGUGUAACUCCACAAAAAUGCUUUGUAAGAUUUUGGUUGAAACCAGAAAAAAAUAUAAUUUUGUUCUUGCAUCUGCUAGAGAAGCACAAUGUUAGACCAAAGUGGGUUUGAAAAUACCACUUCACCAUCAAAUCUCAUAUGUCUCACUUUUUGCUGAACCACUCCAACCAUGUCAGUGCAGGCUCAGGUCUGAUCACGACAAUGGCAACUGUGUGGGAAAAAAGCAUUCUGGCGCUAUACUACUAAUAUAUGCUUGGACUUGCUAGUAACUUGUAAAGUUAAAAUGGUAGCUAUAUGAAGAACCGUAGAUGCCACAAUAAAAUACAUUAGUGCAUCCACCUCUUUGGAAAAGGCCAGAUUCAGUUAUAAUGCAAUGCAAGUCUAUGGAGAAAUGCUAAUGCCACCCUGAUAAAAUUGCCUGUAACUUAUUUUUCCUUACAAUUUUCACAAAAUUUGCUUCGUUCAAGACGUCAUAUGUUUUUGUACUAUAUCACAGGUUAUGUAAAUGUAAAUAUACCUGCCAUGUCAAUAUAUUGAUUGUGUCAUGUCAACGCCAGAAUCAGUGUCACACUACAUCUCCGAGAACACAACACAGCCUACAAACAUGGCCGCCAGAAACUACAACCCCCAGCAAACAUUGACUCAGUCACGUUCACUGUCACCAUUCUUCUAAUCAUGCACACCUGGACUCAAUCAUGAACCAGACCCUAAAUACACACACAACCCCACAGUUAACUGCAAAAUAUAUGUUUUGUGUCCUUGUUACUAGCGUUUACAAAGCCUUUAGAUAUUGUGAAUCUGAUGUUCUGGGUUUUGAUUCUUGCCCUGCCUUUUCAUGCUGUUUGCUAAUCACCUGACCAUUGCCUGUUUCCUGUUCUGAGUUUGCCUCAUGAUUUGUAUCUGUUUUGAAGCUGUCUAAAUAAAGCUGUUUAUACCUGC